rnacentral:tRNA from 1 species
UUUUUUUGAGUGUUUAUGCAUAUGAAAUUUUGAUUUUCAUGGAAUUAGUAGAAUUAUUUAAGAAAU